rnacentral:tRNA from 1 species
AUUUAAAUAGUUUAAAAAAAAUAAUGAUUUGUGGUGUCAUAGUUGUGAGUGUUACUUUAGAUA